rnacentral:rRNA from 1 species
AAGAAGCGAAGCCGCGAGGUGGAGCAAACCUCACAAACAGCGUCUCAGUUCAGAUUGCAGGCUGCAACCCGCCUGCAUGAAGUCGGAAUUGCUAGUAAUCGCGGAUCAGCAUGCCGCGGUGAAUACGUUCCCGGGCCUUGUACACACCGCCCGUCACACCAUGAGAGCCGGGGGGACCCGAAGUCCGUAGCUUAACCGCAAGGAGGGCGCGGCCGAAGGUAAAACUGGUGAUUGGGGUGAAGUCGUAACAAGGUAUC